rnacentral:rRNA from 1 species
UACGUAGGGGCAAGCGUUGUCCGGAAUCAUUGGGCGUAAAGAGCGUGUAGGCGGCCAGAAAAGUCCGCUGUGAAAACUCGAGGCUCAACUUCGAGCUGUCGGUGGAAACUUUCUGGCUAGAGUCCGGAAGAGGAGAAUGGAAUUCCUGGUGUAGCGGUGAAAUGCGCAGAUAUCAGGAAGAACACCCGUGGCGAAAGCGGCUCUCUGGGACGGUACUGACGCUGAGACGCGAAAGCGUGGGGAGCGAACAGG